UGGGGAAUAUUGGACAAUGGACCAAGAGUCUGAUCCAGCAAUUCUGUGUGCACGAUGAAGUUUUUCGGAAUGUAAAGUGCUUUCAGUUGGGAAGAAAGAAAUGACGGUACCAACAGAAGAAGUGACGGCUAAAUACGUGCCAGCAGCCGCGGUAAUACGUAUGUCACGAGCGUUAUCCGGAUUUAUUGGGCGUAAAGCGCGUCUAGGUGGUUAUGUAAGUCUGAUGUGAAAAUGCAGGGCUCAACUCUGUAUUGCGUUGGAAACUGUAUAACUAGAGUACUGGAGAGGUAAGCGGAACUACAAGUGUAGAGGUGAAAUUCGUAGAUAUUUGUAGGAAUGCCGAUGGGGAAGCCAGCUUACUGGACAGAUACUGACGCUGAAGCGCGAAAGCGUGGGUAGCAAACAGGAUUAGAUACCCUGGUAGUCCAUGCCGUAAACGAUGAUUACUAGGUGUUGGGGGUCGAACCUCAGCGCCCAAGCAAACGCGAUAAGUAAUCCGCCUGGGGAGUACGUACGCAAGUAU
rnacentral:rRNA from 1 species